CAAAAGAAUGGGUUAGUACAUUAAAAUCUGACAAAUCUUUGAAAACUUCUGUAAAAACAAAAUUAAACUUGUCCUUGACUGUUAACAAAAAAACAGAAUUAAUUGAAAAUAUGUCAUCCAAAGAUAUAUAUAACCAUUUAAAUAACAAAAAUGAUGAGAGACCACUAGGAUUCUCCAAAUGGAAAAACAUCUUCAAUCUAGAAUCAAUCACUCCA
rnacentral:lncRNA from 1 species